rnacentral:rRNA from 1 species
UACAGAGGUCUCAAGCGUUGUUCGGAUUCAUUGGGCGUAAAGGGUGCGUAGGUGGCGUGGUAAGUCGGAUGUGAAAUCCCGGGGCUCAACCCCCGGAACUGCAUUCGAUACUGCCUUGCUAGAGUACUGGAGAGGAGAUUGGAAUUUACGGUGUAGCAGUGAAAUGCGUAGAUAUCGUAAGGGAAGACCAGGUGGCGAAGGCGGAUCUCUGGACAGUUACUGACACUGAGGCACGAAGGCCAGGGGAGCAAACGGG